UUAUUAUCAACCUAAUCUCAACUUACACAUGCAAGUAUCAGCAUACCCGUGAGAACGCCCUUUUACCUUAAUAGGACAAGGAGCCGGUAUCAGGCACAGGUCCUCACAACCCUAGCCCACGACACCUAGCUUUGCCACACCCUCAAGGGUACUCAGCAGUGAUCAAUAUUGAAUAUAAGCGCCAGCUUGACUCAGUUAGAGAAUUUAGAGCCGGCCAAUACGGUGCCAGCCGCCGCGGCUAUACCGCUAGGCUCAAGUUGACAGUAUUCGGCGUUAAGCGUGUUUAAAGUUCUAAAAGAUUAGGGUUAAAAUCCAACCAAGUUGUGACACACUUGUUCCUUAGAAAAUCAAAACGAAAGUUACCCUAACCAGACCACUUGAACCCACGACAGCUAGGACACAAACUGGGAUUAGGUACCCCACUAUGCCUAGCCGUAAAAUAUUUACUCACACAACCAAUCGCCUGGGUAUUACGAGCUCAAGCUUAAAACCCAAAGGACUUGACGGUGUCCCACCCACCUAGAGGAGCCUGUUCUAAAAUCGAUUCCCCCCGAUCUACCUCACCACUUCUUGCUUAUCAGCCUGUAUACCUCCGUCGUAAGCUUACCAUAUGAACGAUCUAGUGAGCUAAAGGAUUUUACAUAAAUACGUCAGGUCAAGGUGCAGCCCACGAAGCGGUAAGAAAUGGGCUAUUUUUUGUAUAAUAGAACACAACGAAAGACUACAUGCAACAAAGUCAUGAAGGCGGAUUUAGUAGUAAAAAGGAACUAGAGAGUCCAUUUUAAUUAGGCGCUGGGACGCGUACACACCGCCCGUCACCCUCUUCAAAUGCCUAAAAUUAGUUAAUAACAAACUGCAUGCAAAACAGAAGAGGUAAGUCGUAACACGGUAAGCGUACUGGAAAGUGUGCUUGGAUAAACAAU
rnacentral:ncRNA from 1 species